GAGGAAGCCUGCAGCCUCUCUUCCUGAGGGUAAAAGACCGGAAGAUGAAGGUUAAUGUGGAAUUCUGAAGAUGCUUUUGGCUGUUUCUAAACCUGCAAAUCAUUGAGUAGCCAUGCUUUGAGGUGAAGCACUCUGAGAUUGGGGUGAAGGAUCUUCCUGUCUUUUUGGGAAAGAAGAUAAGGAGCAGUCCAGAGAAUGAUCAAUGAACAAGAGGCCAGCUUUAUGAGGAACUUUGGAUAUUAGAGGAGUCGGAAGGAAUGCACAUAGUAGACCUGACAACCACAGAAAGUGAAAGGCAUCACCCCAAGGACUGGAGACCCAGGCCACCUCUGGGGCAGAACUGAGCACAUUUCUUGUUUCUGGCCAUGGAGAACAGAUCUAUCUGAGGGAUGCCACAUUCCAUUGUACUCAAUCACAUAUUUUGGCAAUCUAUUUCCCACUUACAUUCUGAUCGCCUGGGAGAGAGGAAAGAAGAAAAGAUGGAAAAUACAAUAAAGAAGCAAAAGGAAACAAGCUUCAUGGAACAGAACCUUACCAACAAGCCAGUUGUGAGACAUAUGCAGUAUUCUCAAAUGAUAAUCUUUCAGAUAUUACUUACAGGCCAUGGCUGUGGAACAGAUGCAACUUCAGGAGUAUGAAAGUAAGCUACUCCAUUGUGAUAAGUAUAAGGAUAUCCAGUUGAAGUGGUCAAGUACAUUGUUCCAGCUGCUGGCAUUAUGCUAGAUCCUACAAUAAACAAGGAUGGUUGAAAUUAAAAUUAAACAAACUUGCAGCUUUUAAAACAAGUGAAGUAAUAGAAAAUUCCAAUGCACAUUUUAAUUGCCAAACAUAUAACAAAUUUUAUACUUGAUAUAUCAACUCCAUGUUGCUGCUCUGCAUCUCUCUGUAACAGGAAUGUGUCUCAAACAAACCACAGAUGCUGCAAUGGCUCUGGUGGAGUGCAUUUUUAAAUCCUUGGCAGGAACUAUGCUUCUAGCUAAAAUGUAACAUAGUUCUAUGUAUCUUUUUAUCCACUGUGACAGCCUUUGUUUGCUAAUAAGCUCUCUCUGACAUCUUUCCCCAUAGGCUAUAAAUAGUCAACUGGAUUUUCUAAAGGCUUUUGUACUCUCUAGGUAAAUACAUUCUAAUGUCCACAUUAUGCAGAUAAAAUUCCCUGGGUUGGAAACAGGGCUUUGAAAGAAAGCUAGGAGGGAGAGGUAGUAAAUGGAAAUUUGACACCAUCUUGGACAUGAAGCUAAGUUUGGGCCUCACAAUCACCUCGUCCUUAUGUACCUAAGUAUAUGGGAGUCUGGCCAUUAAUGCAUCAGUUCUCCAGCUCUCUUGGCAGAGGCUUUAAGAUGGCUUUAAGAAAAGCUGUCUUUAGAGACAGAUGCACCAAAGCCAUUUUCUUGAGGGGCUCAAAGGGAGGAUCCACGAGUUUAAUCAGAGCAAGAUUUAAGCCCCAAGAAUAGAGGAGGCUCCCUUGUAGAAGGAAAAACAUUGGUCAUGCCUUUCAGGAACAAAGAAACAGUACAAUCAGAAAAUAUAGAUCUGUUUUUAAUAUGCCUGACAGCUAAAAGCUCCUUAAGCCUGGAUUUAAGGAGAAGGAAGUUGUCCAAUGUCCUGAUGUCAACUUGGGGAGCCUUCAAAAUCAUCUCCAAUGGUGUCAAAGCUACUCUGAGACAACUGCAGAUUUGAAUCAGAGAGGUAAGUACAGAAGCAGAGUCAAGUGGUGGAAAAGUAUGUGGUGAAAUGGGCAGUAGCCUCAGUGGUGGUCCUCCAUUCAUGCAGUGGGAGAGAGAAGGGGUUCUUGGGAUCUAUAGUAAUGACAUGUCCAGGCUGAUUGGUGCUCAGA